GGUUGUGUGACCUAGUGGAGAAAGUACUGGACUGGGACUCAGGAGAUCUGGGUUCUAUUCCCAGCUCUUUCU
rnacentral:tRNA from 1 species